AUACGGAGGGAGCAAGCGUUAUUCGGAAUCACUGGGCGUAAAGGACGCGUAGGCGGGUUUGUAAGUCAGGUGUGAAAUCCUACAGCUCAACUGUAGAACUGCACUUGAAACUACAGACCUAGAGUAUGGAAGGGGCAGAUGGAAUUAGUGGUGUAGGGGUAAAAUCCGUAGAUAUCACUAGGAAUACCGAAAGCGAAGGCGAUCUGCUGGGACAUUACUGACGCUGAGGCGUGAAAGCGUGGGGAGCAAACAGAAUUAGAAACCCCAGUAGUCC
rnacentral:rRNA from 1 species